rnacentral:lncRNA from 1 species
GAGCUAUAUUCCUAGCUGCAUUGAUUUUUUUUUUUUAAUUUUAUUGUGAGAUGAGGUCUCACUAAGUUGUUGAGGCUGGCCUUGAACUUGUGAUCCUCCUGCCUCAGCCUCCCAAGUAGCUAGGAUUAGAGGUGUGCACCAUCAUACCCAGCUAAAACCUUUGCCCUUGAUGUUUCUUUUUCAAUAAUUUUCCACCCACUAACCCCCUGUCCUGCUCCUUAGUUAUAAAUUCCCACUUCUUGUUGGAGUCAGAGCGGAACCUAAUCUCUCUCUCCCACUGCAAGACCCCAUUAAGUGAAGUCUGCCUUUCCAUCUUUAACAAGUGUUUUCUUCUUCUUUCUUUUUCUUUAACAGGGAUGGCCACCAGAUUGAGAAAGCUUGGGGAAAGGCCUCUGCCUAUUUCCUGAACUGAUGGGGUCGCUGUGGGAGGUCAGGGCUGCUCACAGCCUAAAUCUUCCAUGCCAACUUAACUGUGGCAACCCAGACCCUGGAAGAGGGUUUGCUGCAUCCCGUAUUUAGAGGUUAAGUGUUCUGAUAUCUGCAACUUACUCUGAAAUGUGUCAAAAACAGAAGAAAAGACUGGUGGAGGGUAGAUGGACAGAUUCGUGGUAAGACAGAUAGAGCAAAAUGGGAGUUCUAGAAUCUGGGUUGUGGGCAUAUGGGUGUUUGCUGUGUUAUUUUUUAAGCUCUUCUGAAUGUUUCCAUUUUUCAUAAUAACAUAUUGAGGGAAAUAAAUCACCUAGGGAGUCACACCCACCUCAUGUUGCACGUCACCCUGGCUCGAGGGAGUUUCAUCAUUCGUCAUUGGGUUCUUUCUCAAGCCCCCUUCGGGAGAGUUCUCGACCAGACACUUGAAGACACAGAAUAACAAGCAGAUAGGCAGUCCCCGCUUUGGGGAAAUUUAGGAUAUUGGGAGAAAAUAGGACGGAAUCAUCAAAUUAACGUCAGUAAAGACAGCUCUUUAUUUUCUGGUCUAAUGGAUGAGAAAUAGGGGUGUGAUUUCCUGUAACUAUAUAUUGUCCCCAAACCUCUUCUGCUUGACUUUGAUGAGGUAGAAAGGCCCAUUACAGGAAAGAGACAGAAGUGGGGAGUAGGGGAGGCUGCACCUGGCAGGUGACUGGAGAUCCGGUAGUGGACAGUCACCUGCAGGUCCCUGAAGGUGGGUUGAAGAACAGAUCUGACUCCUUCGGGGAGGGUUGGGAUCAGCGUACUAGGAACCAGGUCAGUCUCAACUCUGCCAGUCUACGUCAGCUUGAACAAGUCACUGUUUUCUUGGAAAC